AAGUCGUAACAAGGUUUCCGUAGGUGAACCUGCGGAAGGAUCAUUACCGAGAUAGGGUCCUUCGGGGCCCGAACCUCCCACCCUUUGUCUAUAUAACCUUUGUUGCCUCGGCGGGCCGAUGAUGCGCCUAGAAAUAGGCCUCGCCAUCGGCUCUUUCGGCCCUUGAGUGCCCGCCGAUGGGAUAUCAUAAACCCUUUUGAAAUCAGCAGUCUGAGUGAAAUUAUAAUACUUCAAAACUUUCAACAACGGAUCUCUUGGUUCUG
rnacentral:misc_RNA from 1 species